rnacentral:rRNA from 1 species
AACGAACGCUGGCGGCAUGCCUAACACAUGCAAGUCGAACGAGACCUUCGGGUCUAUUGGCGCACGUGUGCGUAACGCGUGGUAACCUUCCCUUAUGUUCGGAAUAACUCCCCGUAAGGGGUGCUAAUACCGGAUAAUUUCUUCGGACCAAAGAUUUAUCGCCUUUGGAUGGGCCCGCGUUGGAUUAGCUAGUUGGUAGGGUAAAAGCAUACCAAGGCGACGAUCCAUAGCUGGUAUGAGAGGAUGAUAAGCCACACUGGGAGUGAGACACGGCCCAGACUACUACGGGAGGGAGGAGUGGGGAAUAUUGGAAAAUGGGGGAAAGAAUGAACGAGAAAGGACGGGUGAGUGAUGAAGGCAUUAGGGUAGUAAAGCACUUUUAAACGGGAUGAUAAUGACAGUAACGGGAGAAUAAGCACCGGCUAACUCCGUG